AGAACAACAGGGAUUGCCCUAGUAACGGCGAGUGAAGCGGCAACAGCUCAAAUUUGAAAUCUGGCGCAAGCCCGAGUUGUAAUUUGUAGAGGAUGCUUCGGGGCAGCGGCCGGUCUAAGUUCCUUGGAACAGGACGUCAUAGAGGGUGAGAAUCCCGUAUGCGACCGGCUGGCACCCCACACGUAGCUCCUUCGACGAGUCGAGUUGUUUGGGAAUGCAGCUCUAAAUGGGAGGUAAAUUUCUUCUAAAGCUAAAUACCGGCCAGAGACCGAUAGCGCACAAGUAGAGUGAUCGAAAGAUGAAAAGCACUUUGGAAAGAGAGUUAAAAAGCACGUGAAAUUGUUAAAAGGGAAGCGCUUGCAACCAGACUUGUCGACGGUGUUCCGCCGGUCUUCUGACCGGUUCACUCGUCGUCGGCAGGCCAGCAUCGUCUGGGGCCGCCGGAUAAAGGCUUGGGGAAUGUGGCUCCUCCGGGAGUGUUAUAGCCCCUCGCACAAUACGGCGCGCCUCGGGCGAGGUCCGCACUUCGGUAAGGAUGCUGGCGUAAUGGUCGUAAGCGGCCCGUCUUGAAACACGGACCAAGGAGUCGAUCAAUCGUGCGAGUGUUCGGGUGAAAAACCCUUGCGCGCAAUGAAAGUGAACGGAGGCGAGAACUUCGGUGCAUCGUCGACCGAUCCAGAUGUCUUCGGAUGGAUUUGAGUAAGAGCAUGGCUGAUCGGACCCGAAAGAUGGUGAACUAUGCCUGAAUAGGGUGAAGCCAGAGGAAACUCUGGUGGAGGCUCGCAGCGGUUCUGACGUGCAAAUCGAUCGUCAAAUUUGGGUAUAGGGGCGAAAGACUAAUCGAACCAUUAACCUACUAGGUGGUUAAUCUGUCGGACAAACGACACAGGCGGCACAGGGGCCGCCGACACCGUCAAAUUGCGGGGACGCGCUGAGCGUUCUCGCCGGCCGCCGCCCUCGGAAACGGGGUGUACGGCGCGGCGUCCCUAACGGGAUGGCCACACGGCCGGCGCGAAAUUGGUUGACCCGCAGCCAAGUCCGCAGUCGCAGGGGGCGACCCGGACGCAGUUAACAGACUCGACGUCGGUGGGCCGGCGCACGGGGCGUCGGCUUGAGAUAGAGUCGGUUCGGCCGCGAGAGCGACCGAGGAACCCAGCGCUAGUAGCUGGUUCCUGCCGAAGUUUCCCUCAGGAUAGCAGUAACGUUUUCAGUUUUAUGAGGUAAAGCGAAUGAUUAGAGGCCUUGGGGUUGAAACAACCUUAACCUAUUCUCAAACUUUAAAUAUGUAAGAAGUCCUUGUUACUUAGUUGAACGUGGACAUUCGAAUGUAUCGUUACUAGUGGGCCAUUUUUGGUAAGCAGAACUGGCGAUGCGGGAUGAACCGAACGUGGAGUUAAGGUGCCGGAAUGCACGCUCAUCAGACACCACAAAAGGUGUUAGUUCAUCUAGACAGCAGGACGGUGGCCAUGGAAGUCGGAACCCGCUAAGGAGUGUGUAACAACUCACCUGCCGAAUGAACUAGCCCUGAAAAUGGAUGGCGCUCAAGCGUGCUACCCAUACUCCACCGCCAGCGUAGAAACGACGCGUUGGCGAGUAGGCAGGCGUGGAGGCCCGUGACGAAGCCUCGGC
rnacentral:rRNA from 1 species